ACUAGUUUGGCAGAUAAAUGUAAUUAACUUAGAAUUAAUGAAUAUUAGUUUAAUACUUUUAAUUAGUA
rnacentral:tRNA from 1 species